rnacentral:rRNA from 1 species
ACUCCUACGGGAGGCAGCAGUAGGGAAUCUUCCACAAUGGGCGCAAGCCUGACGGAGCAACACCGCGUGAGUGAAGAAGGGUUUCGGCUCGUAAAGCUCUGUUGUUAAAGAAGAACACGUAUGAGAGUAACUGUUCAUACGUUGACGGUAUUUAACCAGAAAGUCACGGCUAACUACGUGCCAGCAGCCGCGGUAAUACGUAGGUGGCAAGCGUUAUCCGGAUUUAUUGGGCGUAAAGAGAGUGCAGGCGGUUUUCUAAGUCUGAUGUGAAAGCCUUCGGCUUAACCGGAGAAGUGCAUCGGAAACUGGAUAACUUGAGUGCAGAAGAGGGUAGUGGAACUCCAUGUGUAGCGGUGGAAUGCGUAGAUAUAUGGAAGAACACCAGUGGCGAAGGCGGCUACCUGGUCUGCAACUGACGCUGAGACUCGAAAGCAUGGGUAGCGAACAGGAUUAGAUACCCUGGUAGGAUAGCG